CUCCUCUUCCCUGGGCUUUGGGGUCCCCCUGGCUGGGGACAGGGUAGCGAAGGUGUCCCUGGGGUGGAUGGUGGAGGAUGGCUCAGGUGGUGUUAGUGGGGAGGUGACAGCUGGGAUGGGAGUUGCUGUGGUCCCGGGGUGACAAAGCCGUGCUGGAAGAGCGGGGCUGGUUUCAUGCAUCCUCACCCCAGUGUGGGCACGGUGCUCUAUGGAAGGGAGCAUUGCUCCUGUUGGGUGCUCACUGCCUGCCCCACCGCCAGGCUCAGCCAGAGGUUUCCACUGUAGACAUGCAAAUCUAUUUACCGACGGAGGCUGGAGACAUCGGAAAGUGGGGAGGUCAAAUUGGUGCUUAAUGAGCCAAUUAAGCCAGGGCAUGGAGAAUCGGGACUCGAGGCAGGGAAGGCAUCUCCUCCCCUGUGAACACUGCAGCCCUCCCCUACCUGCAUCACCCGCUGAAUUAAAUCUGCCUGAGCAAACAGAGGCUGUGUAGGGUCACCAGGGCUCUGUCCCCAUGGAGCUGUGGCCACAACAUGAGCCCUGCCCUGCCCUGCUGGGAGCUGGACACAGCACAAGGGCUCCUAGGAUGGCUAUCUCAAGCUAAAGGAGCAGCAGGUCACCUCCUGCCCAGCCCUGCAGCGGGUUUGUAGCAGAGAACAAAGCUGUUUCUGCAGGGGAAGGCACCCCGAGGGAGAGGAGGAAGAGUCCAGGAAGGAGGAAGGCUCUGAGCCCUGUGCCACCUAACACCACUACGGAGCCAGACCAGGAUUUACAGGUCUCUUUGCCUAUUGGUGAGGCUGUGCAGGCUCCAGAAAGUGGCUUCUCCUGAGGUGCAUGGAAAUAGAGAGACACUGAGCCUGAGCUGGGCAGAUCAGCAGGGAAAAGCCCAUAUUUUUUUCUGGUCCUUCCUCCAGCAGCCCAGCUCCCAGCCUCCCAGCCUCAGAACACACCAAGAACCCCUCCAAAACCCACCUCCAUGGUGCAGCUCAGGGCGAACCGAGGCCAAAUUCUGCAAAUCCUGAAUGCUGGGUCAAGAGGGCCUUUGGGUAGCCCCAUGGCAAUGCCCUUUGGGAGCCACAAGGCAGCCCACAGGCAUGGGGCACAUCGUGCUCCCGGCGCUGGGGCUCGCCCAGCCCUCCCACCCGUGCACACACGUUAAUAAAAGAUCAGUUUGCAGACACAGCUUGCUGUAGAUGACAGCAUUAGAGGCGCAUCUGGUUUCUGCUAAGCACCAGUCUCGUGCUGGGUUUAUUUGGUCCAUUUGUGGCAGGGAAGAGUUGCUUUCGGCAUUCAGCGGUGUCUCGUGUCUGGGAGAGGUGGGGGGGGGGAAGAUGUAUUUUUGGCGCUGCUUAGCCACAAAAAUUUGGUUUCAGAAUAAAGACAAAUAUUCCUGUUUUCUAUCCGCUGCCAAACCGAGCCUUCGUUUUUCUGAGAACUCGGCAUCCUGCUGGAAAAAAGACAUGUUCUGAUGGGAAAAGUCCAUUGGUUUGCAUUGAUCAGGCAUUGGGGCUGGGGGAUGUCAGCUUCAGCCUGAAGCAGUUCUCAACCUUUUCCCAAGGCAUAUGAGGAAGGACGAGGUGGGGCCUUUGUGGUUUUGGCUGCUUUUGGCCAGACAUUGGUGCAGCAAUGGGAAAGGCAAGCACCCAACAAGGGCUGCUCCCAGUGUCAGCGCAUCUCUCAUCACCAGCAAGCCACAGCCAGAAGCCACAGCUCCCAUCGGGCUGCUCCUCUGAAGGGAGAACUUGCUGAAUGUCCACAGAGGUUUCCUAAUAUAAUUUAUUUUUUACCCUGCAGCUCUUUAAUUAAACCUUUACGAUCCCAACUCCCUUUCGAUUUUGUUUUUAUAAAGGCAUUAUGAUAUUCAGGAAGAAUAAAACCGCUGUUAUACCUGGAGCUGCCUUCAUUUCACAGCAGAAUAAAAGCAAAUGUGGAGUCAAUAGUGCCAGGAGCAGAGGGGAUGAACGCAGGGCCCGUGUGGCACAGGAGAGAUUGGGGGCUGGAAAGACAAAAGCUUAUCUGGAUGGGAGCCUCAAAACCGAACCAGCUCCUCGGAUGCUAUACAUCACCUGGGCUCCCCGGAGGCGCUGGUACUGCUGCAGCACGGCUCUGUGUAUUGAUUUAAGGGAGAAUAAAGGUCAGGAGCUGAGCGGGAGGAGGCUGAGAGUGUCUGGGUGGGCAGCGAUGAGCGGAGCUGCGUGUGGGCAAGGACAGAACCGGGAUGGAGACGCGCCAGAGCUCCAACAGCCCCAGCGUGCAAGCACAGAACCCAGCGCAGCUCUCCUGGCAGAUGGCUGAGCCCACCGGCAGGGCUCCUCCAGCCACAGCCAUCCCGGGUGUAGGGAAAACCCAGAUUUCAGCCUGGGCCUUACCGUCAGCAAGUGCGACCUUUCCUCCCAUCUGCACUUGC